rnacentral:lncRNA from 1 species
GUGCUAUUUGAACCACUGUCCUACAAUAAGAUUAUGGUAAGGUUGAGUGCUCACAGACAUUUUUUUUAUUAAUUGUUAUUAGUUUUGAAUUAAUUUGGAUUGCUUAAAUCUUUUCAUGUUUGGGUCUUUAACGGCCGACUCAUAAAGUUUGGCACUGGCGGAUCCAGAACUUUUCAUAAGGGAAAGGGGGCCUCUCCAGUCAUGCUUCAGUGAUUCCCUAUAUAAUCAACCAAAUGUUUCCCACACAAGGGGGGACAAUCAGUUUUCUCAUGAUCGAAGCCCACCAUUGGCCUUUAAUCACUUGCAUCAGGACCACUUCAUUGAACUCUGGUGGAAAGAUCACUGAAUUUACCAUACCGAAUCUUCUUAUUUUUUUAUGAUAGUCAUCAUUCAAGGGCAAUCACUUUAAUUAUAUAGAAGUGGCCUUACCAUUUAGGCAGUGUUGUCUUCUGCUUAUCUUGUUUUGUC